rnacentral:rRNA from 1 species
AACGCGAAGAACCUUACCUGGGCUCGAAAUGUAGUGGAAUCCGGCAGAAACGUCGGCGUCUAGCAAUAGACCGCUAUAUAGGUGCUGCAUGGCUGUCGUCAGCUCGUGUCGUGAGAUGUUGGGUUAAGUCCCGCAACGAGCGCAACCCUUAUCUUCAGUUGCUACCAUUUAGUUGAGCACUCUGACGAAACCGCCUCGGAUAACGGGGAGGAAGGUGGGGAUGACGUCAAGUCCUCAUGGCCUUUAUGUCCAGGGCUACACACGUGCUACAAUGGCCGGUACAAACCGCUGCAAACCCGCGAGGGGGAGCUAAUCGGAAAAAGCCGGCCUCAGUUCGGAUUGGAGUCUGCAACUCGACUCCAUGAAGCUGGAAUCGCUAGUAAUCGUGGAUCAGCAUGCCACGGUGAAUACGUUCCCGGGCCUUGUACACACCGUAGUAC